rnacentral:SRP_RNA from 1 species
CCUUACAGGUGUAUCACUACACCUGUAAUCCCAGAUACUCGAAAGGCUGAGGUGGGAGGAUCACUUGAGGUGGUCCACAGUGUGCUACGCCUAUUGGGUGAUACCACUAAUUGGGUGUUCGGCAUCAAUGGAGUGACCUCCCAGGAGUGGGAGACUACCAGGCUGCCUAAGGAGGGGUGAACUGAGCAGGUCAAAACUCCUGUGAUGACCAGUAGUGGGAUGCAGCCUGUGAACAGCCACUGUACUCUGGCCUGGGCACCACAGCAAGAUCCUAUCUCU